GUGACUGCGUACCUUUUGUAUAAUGGGUCAGCGACUUAUAUUCUGUAGCAAGGUUAACCGAAUAGGGGAGCCGGAGGGAAACCGAGUCUUAAUUGGGCGUUAAGUUGCAGGGUAUAGACCCGAAACCCGGUGAUCUAGCCAUGGGCAGGUUGAAGGUUGGGUAACACUAACUGGAGGACCGAACCGACUAAUGUUGAAAAAUUAGCGGAUGACCUGUGGCUGGGGGUGAAAGGCCAAUCAAACCGGGAGAUAGCUGGUUCUCCCCGAAAGCUAUUUAGGUAGCGCCUCGUGAAUUCAUCUCCGGGGGUAGAGCACUGUUUCGGCUAGGGGGCCAUCCCGGCUUACCAACCCGAUGCAAACUGCGAAUACCGGAGAAUGUUAUCACGGGAGACACACGGCGGGUGCUAACGUCCGUCGUGAAGAGGGAAACAACCCAGACCGCCAGCUAAGGUCCCAAAGUCAUGGUUAAGUGGGAAACGAUGUGGGAAGGCCCAGACAGCCAGGAUGUUGGCUUAGAAGCAGCCAUCAUUUAAAGAAAGCGUAAUAGCUCACUGGUCGAGUCGGCCUGCGCGGAAGAUGUAACGGGGCUAAACCAUGCACCGAAGCUGCGGCAGCGAACGUAUCACUUAAAGCGAUUCAGCGGGUUACGAUUGACGGAGCGAAGCGACGUCAAAGCGUAUACAAAGUCGAGUCGGUUUAAGGAUACGUUCGUUGGGUAGGGGAGCGUUCUGUAAGCCUGUGAAGGUGGCCUGUGAGGGUUGCUGGAGGUAUCAGAAGUGCGAAUGCUGACAUAAGUAACGAUAAAGCGGGUGAAAAGCCCGCUCGCCGGAAGACCAAGGGUUCCUGUCCAACGUUAAUCGGGGCAGGGUGAGUCGACCCCUAAGGCGAGGCCGAAAGGCGUAGUCGAUGGGAAACAGGUUAAUAUUCCUGUACUUGGUGUUACUGCGAAGGGGGGACGGAGAAGGCUAUGUUGGCCGGGCGACGGUUGUCCCGGUUUAAGCGUGUAGG
rnacentral:rRNA from 1 species